AAAAAUAUAUCUUAUUAAAAGGAUUAUAAUUAGGGCUGCUAACUUUGAUUUGGGGACAUUCUCCUCCUUUUUUUG
rnacentral:tRNA from 1 species